CGAACAUUCGGACCCUCGGUCUACCGAGCAAUAUUACCCGCUCGGUUAAAGACCUUCCUUUUGUAGU
rnacentral:pre_miRNA from 1 species